rnacentral:rRNA from 1 species
UACGAAGGGGGGCGAGCGUUAUUCGGAAUCACUGGGCGUAAAGCGUGCGUAGGCUGUUCGGUCAGUCAGAAGUGAAAGCCCAAGGCUCAACCUUGGAAGUGCUUUUGAAACUACCGGACUAGAAUUCAGGAGAGGAUAGCGGAAUUCCCAGUGUAGCAGUGAAAUGCGUAGAUAUUGGGAGGAACACCAGUGGCGCAAGCGGCUAUCUGGACUGACAUUGACGCUGAGGCACGAAAGCGUGGGGAUCAAACAGG